CCUUGGUGUAAACAUCAUUCACUCUCAUAAUAUAUAAAUUGAUACACUAUAGAGCACCAUUAUCGGUAAGCUCUUAGACAUAUCUUAGAGAAAUUUUAGGUAAUUAUAUAAAUAAAAUUAAAUGCCAAAUAUUGAAUAAUGUUAAGGAACGUCUCUUACUUAAGAGACAACAAAAUACCUUAAGAGACGAACGUCUUUGUUUUUUCUCGUCUCGUUCUGGUCUCCUUUCCUCUUGUCUCCGAUGGUGAAAUCGAAGAGUUUGGUCUGGAUCGUCUUAAAAUUGGUUCGAAUUGGUUGCCCGUGUUCUGUUGUCUCUCUCUCUUUAUCGUCUCUCCGAUGGCGAUCAAUUUCACGAUUGUUCUCUUUCAAUCGUAUAAAGCCAAGUGCUUUUAUCAAAAUUUACCCGCGAAUUUAAGGUAGGAAGAGAAGCUAAAGCUCCAAUAGAAGUGAGUCCGUUGAUGAAGAUGUAUGUGUUAAAUAACUCAAAACCCCCUCUUUUGAAUUCUGAAUUUUGUGAAGAUCAUGAAUCGAUUCGCUCAAGCUCGAGUGUUUAGAUGUUUGCGUUGUGAUGAUGUUACGUUUGAUUUCAUUGUGUUGAUUACGAUUUUGUUCAGCUCCUUCACAAGUUUGGUGCCAUAAUUGAGUAAAUAGGGUUUGUUAGAACCAAAGUUUAUAGCUUUUUUGUCAAAUUGAAUCUCUGUAUGAAUGUGAGCUGUGUGUUAAAGCUUGAAUCUUUUUGUCAAUUGUCUUUAUGGGUCUCAAAAACCUCACAUGGUUUUGUGUUGAAUCUCUCGGUUCUCUUUCUAAAUGUGAGGAUCUAUGCUUUAUUUUCUCACCUUUGUAUCUUCUGGAUGAUAUAUUUCCUAUGUUUUGUUGCAGUGUCAUGUAUUUGAAGAAAGUUCACUGAAAUUGAAGAAACAUUCUUAUUAUUGUCUCUUUAUCUUAUUUGCAUAAACAUACAAGCAAAGAUGGGAAGGAGAUGAUGCAACCUCCACAAUCUGCAGACCCCAUGGCUUCUUUAAGUAAGAUUUGCUUUUUAGUUUUCUUAUGAUGUACAAGGAGAACUUCCACAAGCCUUUUGUCGUCGGGCUGCUGUCAAAGGAUGUAUCUAUGUACGUUUGGAACAAUUUACUGCAUUGUGUACUAUGUUGCUGCUGUGGUAUUUGUUACUUGGUUUUGUUGACGAAAGGAUUCUUACUUGAUUAUUUUAAAAUCUUUUAGAUUAGUCACGUUAACUUUAUUAUCACAAGGUUACUUCUUAUGGCAUGUAGACUGAUUUCGGACCUGCUGUCUCCUUUAUUCUUUGAGCAACAUUUGGUUUAUGUAAACUUAAAGUGUUGUGUCUUUGAAAGUUUAUGCAUUGAUGUCUUUGUGCAUGUCUUUAUGUUUUUGUUUAUUGAUGUCUUUAUGUUCAAGUGUUUUUGUGUAUUGAUGUCUUUAUGUUCAUGUUUAUGUCUUUGUUUAACUCUUUCUUUAUGUCUUUAUGUAUUUGAAUCUCCUCCUCUAAACAUGUUUAUGACUUUUGUUUCCCAAGGGAGGAUGGGAGAAUGAUGACUCAGUCAGGGAGGCUGCAGUGAGUGGAAGGCAUCUUCAACACGCUGCUGAGAAAACAGGACAAGAAGAGGACAAGUCAUUGGCAAGUUGAAGCUAAUGGAGACCACAUAUUUCUACUUUGCUUGUACACCACAUUAGUUUUGUGUCAAUAAUUCAUUGGCAAGUUGAAGCUAAUGGAGACCACAUAUUUCUACUUUGCUUGUACACCACAUUAGUUUUGUGUCAAUAAUUCGACACCUUCUUUGGGAUUUCUAUAUAUUUCACUCUUGUUCUCACAAACUAAUGCAACAAUCGUUUACAAUUCAACUCUUCUUCUUUAUACUCCAAGUGAUUUACCAAAGACUCUUGUUCUUUAUACCACAAAACAAUCUUUUCUACU